UGUAAACGUUAUACAUUUUAUAAAAAUAUUUAAUAUUUUUAUUAUUGAUAAAGUAUAAAGAACAAAUCAGUGUGAAAACGCAGAUUAUAAAAAGUACAUAAAGUGCCAGCAGAGGAUCCAAAAUAAUGAAAAAAAAAAAAACAUCCAAUGCAACUUGGAAAUUGUAGUCAAAAUACAUCUACAGCAGCAUGCUAAAGCAGUACCAACGCCAGGGCAAAAGACUCAAAUUCCCAGAAUGCACCUGCACCCACCCAUUCAUUCCCACCAAUCAGGAUCAACGGCAUUUUUCAAACCGCUACUGACUCGUUUUCAUGCUAAACAGUACGGCUGAGAGGUCAUGUACCAUGUGGUCGACCUUGCUGACGCUGAAGAGGUUUCUGUGUAAAAAUGAUAUGCAGUGAGGGAGUGAUUCCCCAACAUCGAGGUGGCAGAGAUCCGGGACCUUCUACGGAGGAAGUGCAACAAUGCCAGUUACAAGGCCUCCAGUAGUUCAAAUCAGAGCUAGAUGUCCAUAUAGUACAAGUUGUUCGCAAUUGUUCUCUUCCCGGCAUUUCAAAGAAAGUCGACUGUUUAAGGUUCCCCAUUUUGCCAAUAUCUGUUUUGUGUGUUACUUUUGUGUCAUUAAUAAAGAUCCUUUUUUGAAAUGCA